rnacentral:misc_RNA from 1 species
GCGAUAAUAUUGCACUAAAAAGGGUCUGGUAAACAGCUAGAUCCCUUCGUUGUUGUAGCACAUCAUUUGUGUCAAAAUACUCAAACGUAGUCUGAGUACGUGGCCUGUUGACAUCUCGACAGGAUCUGGCUUCCACAAAUUCAGAGCUCGUACUUCCGUUUUUGCUGUUAUCUUCUUGCAUUCCUUCCUUGUGUAUGGCCACGCUCUCAAUGCCACUUGAUCUCCAAAAUGGAACAGCAUCGCUACAGCCUUGCAUUACUGGGCCAUCAAAAUGGUCUUCAAGGUCUGAAAGUGCUUUACCAUGAACUUCAUUCAAUCGUUGAUUUUCCACCUUCAGAUUCUUAAGCUGGUCCUCCAAUUGCUCAAUUUUGACGAUGGCAUCGUCAUGUUCAUCCUCGAGUUCUGCUAACAUGGCCUGCAUUAUCUUUUUAUCCUUGAUGGCUACUAGUAUUUUCUUCUCAAGUUGCUUCCUUUCCCAAACAAGAUUUUCAAACUCGAUCUGCAUUUCCUGCAGAUGCAUCUCCAGCGC